GCAUUGUGAUUGUUCAACAAAAUAAAUCUUGAGAAAUACGAUGAGCAUAAUAAUUGUGCAUAUGCAGUGUAGUAAUGGGAUGAGCUAAUUGAAUUUAAAAAAAUGUAUGCACAUCCACAUAUUACCUCAUUCAUAUCUUCCUCCUCUUCAUUGUCAGGGUCCUCAUCUUGAUUCUCUUGACUCACCGUAGAACUCUGAACACAGCUACAGAUCCCCAGCAGUUGAAACCAGACAGAAAUGUGGUGUAGCAUUUUCUCACCGACCAAUCACGAACCUCGCGAGUUUGUUGUCGCCGCGCGAGUAACGAGUGCUCGCUUAUCCUGCUGAGUUUAGAAAAAACAGGAGACAUUUGAAGACGAGAUUUUUCAGCAAUAUGAAGAAGACCGGGCCCAGGAUAAAAAGAAAAUUAUAUGACUAAAGGAACAAGUUGCAAAAUUAGAAAGGAAGGUGGAUAGACAGAGAUGUCAACCUGAAACUGCAGGACACCCAAAGAGCCAGCAAAAGAUCAAAACACAACUGCUGACACAAAGCUGCUGCUUAACAAAUAUGCGGAAUCAGCAUCAAAGUCAGCAUCGUCCUACAAAAAGCUAACACGCACCUUGCUGUGCACUACCUUCUCCAUCGCCACAAUCCUCGUCUCGUCAGUUACUGGGAGGAAGGGGAUUUCAAAUGACAGUCGCCAUGUUUGGAUGGGGAAAAAGUUCAGGGCAUCCUCGAUGAGGUGAAAAGAAAAUUCCCAAACAUACCAGAGCCUGACAUAAAGGCCUGUAUGGCCCAAAAGCUUAAGGACCUGCGUGUGAAGGAGCGGUAAGUAAACUUAAAUAUUUCAGUUAUUUUCAGUGGUACAUAUUC
rnacentral:lncRNA from 1 species